rnacentral:antisense_RNA from 1 species
GUGGGAGGGGGCUUGCCCCCGAUAGCAGUGUGCCAGUCACCCAAUACAGUGACUGACACUCCGCAAUCGGGGGCAAGCCCCCUCCCAC